UGAUAUUUUUAAAAUUCCAGAAGGCUCAAAAUAAUUUAUUUAACAUAUUAGAUCAGUAGAAAAAGGUUUGGGGUCCAUCGGAUUUAUAAAACUCAUUUUAUAGCCCAAAAGGGCAAAACCGGCAUUAGCCGAAUUAAGCUUAGAACACUAAGUUAUGCUCAGCCUAAAAUUAAAUAAAAAUUUCUAAAAAUCCCAAAAUAUUAUUUUAAUACAGUAGGUACAAAGUUUUGAAUAAAAAUUUGGGUUUAGAUAGGCUAUAUGCAAUUUACGCUAUUUAAUUACUAAAGAAGCUUCUAAUUACGCUAUUGAGCAUAACUCCUAAUCUAGACCUCAAACUGAUGUCAAAUUUUAUGGACAAAUUUAUAAUUCCGUAGUGAAGGUUUCUAUCCUCUCACAUUUUCAAAAAUAUCGUUUUAAGGUCAAAAGGGCAUAACGGUCAACAAUUCGGCAUAUAACGGAAACUUGCAAAUGAAUAGGAUAACUAAGGAUUCAGGUUGUAUAACCUCAGAGGGUUACACUAACCUAUAACAUGAUCCUAAAGGAAUCCUAAGGCAUAUCUAAAUAAGUCUAAUUCGGGUCAGAACUGAAAGUCAAAGCAAAAGUCAACUUUCGCGACUUUCGGCUCCGAACCGGGCCUAUACUUAGAAUUGUCGGGUUGAAUCAUGCUUAGACAUGUUCAACUAAUAUUCACCAAGUUAUUAAUGUGGCAAAACUGAUUUUAUGACUUCUAAUUUAAUAGUUAUGCAUUUUAUUUAAAACUAACCCGUUUGACUUUAAUUUGACCCGACAAUUAAACUAAGUAAACGUGGUAAUUAGGAGGCGUCCUUUUGAGGGUUAAUCACCUACCUAAUUACGGUCACGUAGCCAUGUUCGUUCCGAACCAUGGCUCAACCGAUUAAAAGUCAAAGCGUUUAUCGAAACGUUUGACCUUUCGGCUAUAACCGCUAGAAAUUUAAACUAGGCACGAAAGGGUACUUACAAGAGGUCCUAUGAACUGAAGGAGGUUCUCAAAAAGAGUUCAAGACCCUCACAAAUUAGAGAUCAUAGCAGAUUUGAAGGAAAUGGUGCAAAUGAGAGCCAAAUUCAAUGGGUAUAUAUAGGUUUUUGAGGACCGUUAGGAUCGUUUCUUGAUAAACGUGAUCACAUCUGGACCGUACACCUUUACCCCUUGUUUUAGCAAUCUAUGGGCUGCCCAAGGACUGAAGAAAACCAUUUGCAAUUGAUUAAAACAGCUGUAACAGCUGCUGUAACAGCUGGUAACAGCUGGAAAUCAAGUUUCUAAAAUGGCAGUUUUGGUCCCUGCAUGCUUCUAGCCCCUUUCUGAUGCGUUUGAGGCCCGUUAAACCAUUUUUAAGGCUAUAAAAUGAUGCCUAAGCAUAGGGAAUG
rnacentral:lncRNA from 1 species